GCGCUCAUACCUGCAUUAAUGCAUCGGAUCCCAUCAGAACUCCGAAGUUAAGCGUGCUUGGGCGAGAAAAGUACUAGGAUGGGUGACCCCCAGGGAAGUCCUCGUGUUGCACCCC
rnacentral:rRNA from 1 species